UCCCUUCCGCUCUGCACUUCCUCCCUUUUCGCCCGAGAUACAGCCCAGACACACACACAUACAAACACACACAGACACAAACACACACAAACAAAACACACACAAACAAACACACACACAAACACACACAAACAAAACACACAAAACACACAAAUACACACAAACACACACAAAUACACACAAACACAAACAACACAAACACACAGAAACAGACAAACACAUACGCACACACACACCUCCCCACACACAACCUCCGAGUCCCUCCGGAGGUGCCGCUGUGGCCGCUCCCGGGCCGGGCCGGAGCUCCGGAAAUACCCGGGAGCUGCCGCUGGCACCGAGGCUGAGCGGGACGUGGGGCCGAAGGCAGCGGGGAGCCCGUGAGGAAACGGAGAGGCUGAGGAGCACCUGCGGGGGCUGUGGCGGCUGUGAGGGAGCGGCGGCACUGAGGGCACUGAGGCCGCCGCACCGAGGGAGGCCUCCCUGCCCGCAGCCACCAACCCCAGCUCAGCAGAUGUUGAAGUUGUGGCAGAUUGUCUGAGGAGAAGCUUUCAAUGCCCCACCCUGAAAUGGCCUCCUUUUUGGAGGAGGAUGUCAGUGUUGUCCCUGAGCGAAGCCUGAGAACAAGGCUGCAGCUGAGACAGCCUUGCCUGGCAACACAAGCAAUGGGAAGAGUUCUCUGGAGCCUGAGGAGCCUGCUAAGAGGAGAGCCCACAUUCCUCGAGACAGGUCUGAGAGGGCUGCUCUGAGCUGGACAGACAGGAAGGCGAUCAGAAGAGUUCAGUCCUUGUGUGCAGUGUCGGUGCCUCCUCUGUGCUUUCAGUUCCAAUCCUGCACUGGCACCACCUCCCCAGGCCCUGUCCCCCACACUCCUGCAGAGGCACCUGAGGCCUCUGCUGUGGCAACAGAGCAGGGACUGAGCCCGACCUGUGGGAGUUGUGUCACCAACCCCGAUGUCCCCAUUCCCAGCUGAGGUCCAUGGAUCAAUUUGCUGCAGGGUGACAGUGCUACAGAGGCAGCAGCAACAGCAAAAUCCCCACCAUGAAGUGAUGAACUCAGUGUAAAAGUCCAAACUUCUUGCCUCAAAUCAUAACCACAGUCUGCUGACACUGGUCCUGAGACACAGGAGAAAAACAAGCAGCAGAACAUGUGAGGCCAAACAAUCCUCAAAUCAGUAACUAAAGGAAAAGCCUAAGCUUGCCGAGCUUAGCAAGGCCUCAGAGGAGAGAGGCAGCCCUUUGGAUCCUGCGUUCCAGACCAAAGCUGGUGCAGUGUGCCGGCCUCGAAGGGAGCUCCUUUCCUCACAGCUCUUCCUCCUAGAGCUGGAGGAGCUGUGGCUCACUGCAGAGGGAGUUCCUGAGUCCCAGGUAAUGGAGCUGGUUCAUGAUUCGGCUCACAGCACCCUUCAGCUUACACUGUUCCAGUGAGGACUGAGGGCUCUGUCAGCACAGGGAAAGAGCAGGGCUGGAGUUCUUUGUGCGAGCUGGGACUGUGGUUAAAGCUCUCGUGGGUGCCACUUGCACUGCAAGUGCUGCGGCUUUAUGGGGAUACUGCAUAACUCUACGGUCUGAAAACCUCUGGAAGGAUUGCUGUUCCCUGCAGAGCAGGCUCAAAGUCCCAAAUGAGGGUCUGCCUUUCCGGUGUGUUUCACAGGUCCUGGUAGAAGUACAGGUGCUGCUCCAGGGAAAUGUGGACUCAGGGACCUGCUGCUGCCACCUGAGCGACCCCUCCAGGACAAGUGAAGCUGCUUCUGGAUUGCUCCCAGAGUUUUUUAUCAUCCGACCCAUUCAAAAGUGAUUUACCACUCCUUCAUUACCUCUGCCAGAUGCUGUUUGAAGGUGCUCUCUCUGUUCUCUGAGAGGCAUCUCUACACCAUCCCAUGCUUGCAAAUGCUCUUGUAUGGUGACAGAGGCUGUCAAAACACUGCCAGCAGCACCUGUGAAGACUCAGCUGCUGAAUUUGUGCUUGCCCGAGGCGCUUCCUGUGGACUGCAGACAUCAGAACCGGCUCCAGACCUUGAUCUGGGAACUUCAAGGAACUCCCUCCGGAGUCUGCAUCUGUGAGAGAAGCUUGGCACCCUCCCCAGCAGAGACUGCCCAAGUUGUUCAUCCUCUCUUGGACUGGUGAAAACAUUUGUUGUCAUCUUGGGCUGUUCUCUUUCUUGUGUUGGGGAGUGUUUUUUUGUUGUUUUCUUAAUAAACAAGUUUUUUCCACUUUUCCUCUGAGGAAA